UGAGUCUAAUAUGGCCAGCAAUAAUACUAGUAGUCGUUACAGUAUUUCCUUUUAGGCUUCUGGGGAAACUUUUAAGUGCAUGUGCAUUCUAACCCCUUUCUGCAGUAUAAUGGAUAGAAAAAAGAAAUAUGGGAACUGUCCAAGAGCAACAGAUAGUAUGGAGUGGUACAUACAUUUGAUGCAGUCUUUUUUAUUAUUAUUAUUAUAUAUUGACUGGACAUUGAACAGUAAUUAAGACACUUAUGAAAUAUUCUUUUUGAACAAAAUAAAUCUGGAAUCUGCCCCUAAUAUUUUCGGAAGUGUUCUUAGAUAAAUAAUUUCCGCAAAGUCAUUAGUAUCAGAGGGUGUGCUGAAAAUAUCCCAGAAUGUCAGAUGGUUAUUUGUGGGUCUUUUUCCACAGUGUUAAAUCAUGGUUUAUUAUUUUUUUGCCUCAUGUUUUCACUAGGGCUUAUGUGCAGCCCAUGACCGGAAGCCAUUGUCAAAUUGUUUUGAAAAGAAUUUUUGAAUUGAUAACAAAAAUGUACUGGUGUUUUUAAAACCUUUGAAAUGAUAACAAACGCCAAUUAUUGCAGUUAACUGUAUUUGUGAAACAAGUUCCAAGCAUUUUAAAAGGGUUGUUUUCUCCAUCACCAUUAAUGCUAAGACACCAUUUAAUAAUGAAAUUGCAGACUGAUGCAAUAAGUGUUAUUUAUAUUUUCCUGAAGGGAAAAACAUCUAAAACUGUUGUACAUACUGAUAAUGUUUCUUUAAUUAUGGGCUUUCUUGCAUAAUUUAAUGUGUUUUGAGGGGAGCGGAGGGGGGCUAUGGGCCUUGAGAAUCUAAUGAAAGGGAUGCGUACGUGAUAAAAUAAACCUCAAUUUCCUUGA